CUGUGAGCUCGAUGAGUAGGGCGGGACACGUGGUAUCCUGUCUGAAUAUGGGGGGACCAUCCUCCAAGGCUAAAUACUCCUGACUGACCGAUAGUGAACCAGUACCGUGAGGGAAAGGCGAAAAGAACCCCGGCGAGGGGAGUGAAAAAGAACCUGAAACCGUGUACGUACAAGCAGUGGGAGCACGCUUAGGCGUGUGACUGCGUACCUUUUGUAUAAUGGGUCAGCGACUUAUAUUCUGUAGCAAGGUUAACCGAAUAGGGGAGCCGAAGGGAAACCGAGUCUUAACUGGGCGUUAAGUUGCAGGGUAUAGACCCGAAACCCGGUGAUCUAGCCAUGGGCAGGUUGAAGGUUGGGUAACACUAACUGGAGGACCGAACCGACUAAUGUUGAAAAAUUAGCGGAUGACUUGUGGCUGGGGGUGAAAGGCCAAUCAAACCGGGAGAUAGCUGGUUCUCCCCGAAAGCUAUUUAGGUAGCGCCUCGUGAAUUCAUCUCCGGGGGUAGAGCACUGUUUCGGCAAGGGGGUCAUCCCGACUUACCAACCCGAUGCAAACUGCGAAUACCGGAGAAUGUUAUCACGGGAGACACACGGCGGGUGCUAACGUCCGUCGUGAAGAGGGAAACAACCCAGACCGCCAGCUAAGGUCCCAAAGUCAUGGUUAAGUGGGAAACGAUGUGGGAAGGCCCAGACAGCCAGGAUGUUGGCUUAGAAGCAGCCAUCAUUUAAAGAAAGCGUAAUAGCUCACUGGUCGAGUCGGCCUGCGCGGAAGAUGUAACGGGGCUAAACCAUGCACCGAAGCUGCGGCAGCGACGCUGAUGCGUUGUUGGGUAGGGGAGCGUUCUGUAAGCCUGUGAAGGUGUACUGUGAGGUAUGCUGGAGGUAUCAGAAGUGCGAAUGCUGACAUAAGUAACGAUAAAGCGGGUGAAAAGCCCGCUCGCCGGAAGACCAAGGGUUCCUGUCCAACGUUAAUCGGGGCAGGGUGAGUCGACCCCUAAGG
rnacentral:rRNA from 1 species